AGUUGCUGUUGGCAGGCUCCUGGAAGCCUCCUUCUGGGCCAGAUCCUGUCUCCUCACCUCAAUUCUUCCCAACUCUCAUGUUCCCAGGUUAGCCCCAUGGCCCACGUGGCUAAGCCCCUCCUGUUUGCUCAUCAGUGCUCAACUCAUCCUACAAAGCCCAGCUGAGAUGCUACCUGCUCCUGACAGCCUUCUUGUAGUGGCCUCUUUGGAGUUAACCUCUCCUUUAUGUUUCCCUGGAGAUGUGUCUGCAAAAUGCUGCUAUGACAACCAGCUUCAAAUGGAGAAAUCAGGUUGCAGGAAUGAAUUGGAGAUGGUAAAUAUGGGGGAUUUUAUUGCCAAUGGAAGUGACUCUCAGGGGGAAAGGGAGCUAAAAGGAAAAUGGAGCGGGAAGGUAAGCUUCCCCUGGAGCCCAGCUGGGGACUCUCUGAAGCUACAUCAUCAAGCUGUCCCUCUGAAGUCAAGCUGCUUUUCUCCAAUAUCCAGCUGUAGUAUCCUAUGUCCAGCUGCUUCUCCUCUCUGCAGGAUGAGUUCUGGGCUUUUUACAGGCAAAGGAUAGCGGGUGGGGCGGGCCAUGGGUUGUCUUGGAAAAGGCAACAUUUGGGUGGGGAAACAGGGAUGGAAUUUCUCACUUUGGGCCCUGGUAUGAGGCUUUUUGGCUUGAGGGUGGGCCCUUGCCGGGGCCCCACCCUCUUCGGCCCAGAAUUUCCCUGCUUCCUGUCCCUAUCAGUUUGGGCCACCUUAAGGAAGGGUGGGGAGAGGGAGGGAUGUCUGAGGCCUGGCGUGGGGUGAGAACUCAGUGACCCCCUCUGUCUCUUUCUGUCACAGGCCAUGUGGUUUUGCUCUGGAAAUGUGUCUGCUUCCUUCUUCUGACUCUAAGUGCCUGACUGGCCUGAUCUCUACUCAGCACCUCUUGUCUAGAAUUCAAGGCUUUUGUUUGCUUUUUAUUUCCUGCUUCAGUGUUCGCUAGGUUCAACAUGGUCUCUCCACUCAUGAGCUUUCAGCUGGGCAUUGUCAGAGAUUAACAUCUUAUCAUUUUUCAUGGAGCAAAUCAAUGGCCACCCUUCCUGGCUAAGAACCCUGGGUUUCAACUUCUCUCCCAGCAGAGGGGAAAUCCCUGAGCCAAGCCCUGGCGUAGAGGAACUGUCAGAGUCGUUCGAACCAGAGCAACUCCAUCCUGAAUAGGGGCUGAGUAAAUUAAGACUGAGACGUACUGGGCUUGCAUUCCCAGACGAUUAGGCAUUCUAAGUCAUAGAAUGAGAUAGGAGGUCAGCACCAGGUACAGGUCAGGGAGACUUCACUGACAAAACAGGUCACAGUGAAGAAGCCUGCCAAAGCCCACCAACACCAAGAUAGUGACGAGAGUGACCUCUGGUCAUCUUCGCUGCUACACCCCCACCAGUGCCAUGAUGAUUUACGAAUGCCAUGGCAAUGUCAGGUUAUCCUAUAUGGUCCAAAAGGGGAGGGGUGAAUAAUCCACCCCUUGUUUAACAUCAAGAAAUAACCAUAAAAGUGGGCAACCAGCAGUCCUUGAGGCUGCUCUGCCUAUGGAGUGCCCAUUCUUUCAUUCCUUUAGUUUUUUAAUAAACUUGCUUUCACUUUA